CCUACGGGAGACAGCAGUAGGGAAUAUUGCUCAAUGGGGGAAACCCUGAAGCAGCAACGCCGCGUGGAGGAUGAAGGUUUUCGGAUUGUAAACUCCUUUUGUUAGAGAAGAUAAUGACGGUAUCUAACGAAUAAGCACCGGCUAACUCCGUGCCAGCAGCCGCGGUAAUACGGAGGGUGCAAGCGUUACUCGGAAUCACUUGGCGGAAAGAGCGCGUAGGCGGGAUAGCAAGUCAGAUGUGAAAUCCUAUGGCUUAACCAUAGAACUGCAUUUGAAACUGUUAUUCUAGAGUAUGGGAGAGGUAGGUGGAAUUCUUGGUGUAGGGGUAAAAUCCGUAGAGAUCAAGAGGAAUACUCAUUGCGAAGGCGACCUGCUAGAACAUAACUGACGCUGAUGCGCGAAAGCGUGGGGAGCAAACAGGAUUAGAUACCCCAGUAGUC
rnacentral:rRNA from 1 species